CUCUAUUGGGAAAGGUCAGAAUAGGAUAAUACAGAAAUUUAGCAAGUAGAGACCAUUGAUUUCUAGUGAUUAGCAUUGGGACACAAUGGUAUUGCUAGUGAUUGUGGGAAUGAUGUGGCUGUGGCCUGUGGCACAUGUCUAACAAGCUAUACUUAACCUUUAACUUCAAGAUUAACAUCAUGCCAUUAUGGCAUUAUUGCAAUUUUAAAUUUGCACAUUAUCUAUUGAUAUGAAUUUCUUGAUAAUUAAAAAAAUGCACGUCACACAAAGAACUCACUGCAUGGUUAGUUUGGGCAAUCAUCUUACUCCAUGUACAAAGUAUGUCCACCUUUGCAAACUCUCCUUCCUAAAACAGGAUACUGAUCAGCUUCAAAAGGUAGUAACAUAUGAUUAAUUGGUUAUAAUUUCCACCAUUAUGGUUAAUAAUGCAACUUCUGGUAAUUCAGCCUAACUAAAAAGAUUGAAACAGAAUGUUGAACUAUUAGCAGAACAAGUAUGAACACAUACUCAUUAUCAAUAGGUGGGAAUUUUUUUUUAUGCCCUAUAUUAUUAUGGUUAUGUGCCAUAAAACCUUUGUGAUCCAGAUAAGAGCACAAGUUCCCUCCUUUUUGGCUUCUCUCAGAGGCAGAAAACAGCAACUUCGAGAGAGAGAGAGAAAAUGAAUAGUCAUUUUCAUAAAGUCUAGACCUUUCUCCUCAGACUGGACCACCAUUUUCUCAGCCUACAUAGAAGUCACCAUGUCAUUCCCGUCUAGUUCACGAAACAUAUUUGAUCAAGUUCUACAACCAGAGAUCCAAUAUAGUACCUUGCAUACUUGCAUAAAAAUUUGAAAGCAGAGAUGGUAGGACUUCCACCACACAUAUAUUCCGAUUUUCAUCUCUUCGUUUUUGUAUUCGUGUUCCUACUAAGUUUCCUGGUGUUUUAACUCUUUUGGGCCAUCAUUGCAGGAUGAAGCAAACAAGUGGGAAGGCUAUGUAGACUGGAAGAAUGGACCUGCCCUAAGGGGUCGUCAUGGCGGCGUGCUUGCUGCCUCCUUCAUCUUGGGUAAGCAUAGAUAAAUGAUAAAUAUAACUUUCAUACUUCUUCCCUCUUAUAUGCAGUAUAAUUUGCGAAUUGGUUCUCAAGAAGAAGAUAAAUUAGUAAUAGCUGAACUCAUGAUACACAUGUACACACACUCAUCUUCAUAUAAAUACAUAACUUUCAAGAUAUGUAAUACUGAUUAUGUGAUUUUGUUAUAUCAAAAAUCAUAGUCGUGGAGGUACUAGAGAAUCUAGCAUACCUGGCAAAUGCAAGUAACCUUGUGCUAUACCUGUCCAAGUUCAUGCAUUUUUCUCCAUCCAGCUCCGCCAACAUUGUUACCAAUUUUAUGGGAACAGCCUUCCUCCUUGCUCUACUUGGUGGCUUUCUGGCAGAUGCCUUAUUCACCACCUAUCGAAUCUAUUUGAUAAGUGCUGCAAUAGAAUUCAUGGUAAGGUUACAAAGCUACUUUUGCCUUACUUUUGGAAUGAAAUCUUCUUGCUGUCAUUCAAAUAAGCAAUUAGUAUCCCUAUUCUCUGAAGAAAUCAAACCGUGAAUGGUUCCAAGUUGCAUAGUAGCCAUGACUGGUUUGUUACACCCCUUUUGAGGAUACUAUCAAUUAGAGACAUAACAUCGGCCAGUCGGACUCGCCACUGGAAUAUCUCUAAGGUCCAUCGAGAAAGACAAUCUAUAAAAUGGCUUGUUUGUCCAUGCCCAGAAAUGUGCCAAUCGCAGGGCUUUAAUGUUCAAUAACUGUAUUUAAGGUAGCCCCAUCCAGAUAGUAUCCAAACCAACCAUUAAAUCAGAAUCAAUGUUUAAACAACAGCUUGAGUUUCCGACCAAUAAGGGAAAACAAAGCAGCCAAUAGAUUUAAAAAUUAAUAAAUCGUGAUAGAUUGUCCAAUCAUGUUUCUGGAAACUUGUAAUUAAGGUCCCACAGUCUGAAGUGAAGAUUGACAGGUGGAUAUGAAUUCUCUCUAUCAGUUCCCAAUGGUCCCCUUUCAAAUGAAAAUAGCUUUCAGUCAUACCAUGUGACAGAUUGAUCAAAUACAACACUUAAUGUUCAAUUCAGCCAAAAAGGAAAACCAAGUGCUGCCAAAUCCUUAAUAGCCUGAUUUCAAGUUCAACACACACCACAUUAAGGAAAAUUACAAUACAGUAAAAUAAUAAAAAGAUCCUGGCUGAGUCCAUCAACCAUUAAAAGUUCUUCCCUACCACUUAAGAUCAUAACUUCUACAUGCGUUAACCAAUUCUUACCAAUGAAACAGGGCCUGUUAGCACUCACAGUCCAAGCUCGCUUCACUUCACUGAAACCACCACCAUGUGUUCCAGCAAACACAAUCAUCUCAUGUGAACAGGUUCAUGGGGGGAAAGCAGUGAUGUUAUUUGCAGGCCUCUAUCUAGUGGCACUGGGUGUUGGAGGAAUAAAAGGUUCACUUCCCCCACAUGGCGCCGAGCAGUUUGAUGAAACUACCCCACAAGGAAGAAAGCAGCGAUCAUCAUUCUUUAAUUACUAUGUUUUCUGCCUCUCUUGUGGGGCUCUGAUAGCAGUGACUUUUGUGGUAUGGAUUGAAGACAACAAAGGAUGGCAAUGGGGUUUUGGGAUCUCCACUGCAACUAUACUUCUCUCCAUCCCAAUCUUCCUCCUUGGAUCCCCAGUGUAUAGGAACAAAGUCCCAAAGGGAAGCCCCAUCACAACCAUAUUCAAGGUACAGUUAAGAUAAAUAAUACAAAACCAUCAGAAUUUGCAAAGAAAAAAAGAUCCCGUUGGAUAAUCCAUGUCAUUUAUUACUCCUGCAGGUUCUCGUUGCAGCAAUUUAUAACACCUGCAAAGCAGGGAAUCCAAGCAAUGCUGUCAGGGGCAUGGACAGAAGCUCAUCAUACACCACUGAGGCCAGUGAGGGAGAGGAUAGUCAUGCCAAAAAGGGGGCACCAAGUCAAACUCCGGGGGAAAGUUUAAAGUUUCUCAAUAGAGCAGUGAUGAACAAGACUAUAAACCCAAUGCUUCAAUGCACAGUAAAGGAUGUAGAAGAGGUUAAGAUAGUGCUAAGGAUAGUCCCCAUCUUCAUGUCUACCAUAAUGUUAAACUGCUGCCUAGCUCAACUCUCCACCUUUUCUGUCCAACAAGCUUCAACCAUGAAUACCAAGCUUGGUUCCUUGAAAGUCCCACCAGCUUCUCUCCCUGUCUUCCCUGUCAUCUCCAUCAUGAUGCUGGCACCAAUUUAUAAUCAUAUUAUCAUUCCAUUUGCGAGGAAAGUUACAAAAUCUGAAAUGGGGAUCACUCAUUUGCAAAGAAUAGGGACAGGGCUAGUCCUCUCCACUGUGGCAAUGGCAGUGGCAGCGCUAGUAGAAAUCAAGCGAAAAGGAUUGGUGGCCAAUUAUCAACUAACAAAUUCAGCUGAAGCUCUACCCAUCACAUUCCUUUGGAUAGCCUGGCAGUACUUGUUCCUUGGAUCAGCUGAUCUUUUCACCUUAGCUGGCAUGAUGGAAUUCUUCUUCACAGAAGCCCCUACAAGCAUGAGAUCUUUGGCUACAUCUCUCUCCUGGGCCUCACUGGCAAUGGGAUACUACCUCAGUUCUGUGCUUGUGUCAAUAGUCAAUGCUGUGACUGGUGCCUGCAGACACACACCAUGGCUAUUUGGAAACAACUUGAAUCAUUAUCACCUGGAGCGGUUUUACUGGUUGAUGUGCAUAUUAAGUGGAUUGAACUUCUUGCAUUAUCUAUUCUGGGCUUGCCGCUACAGAUACAAAUCAACAAAGCCUGAUGACGAAUAAAAAACUUCAAUUGCACAAGUCACUAGAUGUCUACUUGUCUUGCCA
rnacentral:misc_RNA from 1 species